CCUACGGGUGGCAGCAGUGAGGAAUAUUGGUCAAUGGGCGGAAGCCUGAACCAGCCAAGUAGCGUGCAGGAUGACGGCCCUACGGGUUGUAAACUGCUUUUAUACGGGAAUAACGCGCCUUACGUGUAGGGCUUUGCAUGUACCGUAUGAAUAAGGACCGGCUAAUUCCGUGCCAGCAGCCGCGGUAAUACGGGAGGUCCGGGAGUUAUCCGGAUUUAUUGGGGUUAAAGGGCGCGUAGGCCGGAUGUCAAGCGUGCUGUGAAAUUUCCGGGCUCAACCCGGGCCUUGCAGCGGAAACUGGCGUGCUUGAGUCCGCGGAAAGCAGGCGGAAUUCGUGGUGUAGCGGUGAAAUGCUUAGAUAUGACGAAGAACCCCGAUUGCGAAGGCAGCUUGCUGCAGCGGAACUGACGCUGAUGCUCGAAAGCGCGGGUAUCGAACAGGAUUAGAUACCCGGGUAGUC
rnacentral:rRNA from 1 species